AGAAUUUGAUCUUGGUUCAGGAUGAACGCUGGCGGCGUGCUUAACACAUGCAAGUCGAACGGAGUUUUUAAACGGAAGUUUUCGGAUGGAAGUUUAGAAACUUAGUGGCGGACGGGUGAGUAACGCGUGGGUAACCUGCCUCAUACAGGGGGAUAACAGUUAGAAAUGACUGCUAACACCGCAUAAUAUAGCGAAACCGCAUGAUUUUUGCUAUCAAAUAUUUAUAGGUAUGAGAUGGGCCCGCGUCUGAUUAGCUAGUUGGUGGGGUAAAAGCCUACCAAGGCGACGAUCAGUAGCCGGCUUGAGAGAGUGACCGGCCACAUUGGGACUGAGACACGGCCCAAACUCCUACGGGAGGCAGCAGUGGGGAAUAUUGGACAAUGGGGGAAACCCUGAUCCAGCGACGCCCGCGUGAGUGAAGAAGUAUUUCGGUAUGUAAAGCUCUAUCAGCAGGGAAGAUAAUGACAGUACCUGACUAAGAAGCCCCGGCUAACUACGUGCCAGCAGCAGC
rnacentral:rRNA from 1 species